CAACACAACAACUCAAAAUAUGGCAAAGUCUGUUGGACUCGAGGUUCUUGCAUUGCUGGUAAAAGCUUGGAAUAGAUUCAAGACAGGUACUGGCUGCAGUCAUUACGGCAGGUGCUUCUAGAGAGCAUGAAAUCCUAGCUGAAAUAAGAGAUGCUGUUUUUUCUUUCAUUCGUAAAAUGGAGCCC